rnacentral:rRNA from 1 species
CACGUAGGGCGCAAGCGUUGUCCGGAAUUAUUGGGCGUAAAGAGCUCGUAGGCGGUCUGUUGCGUCCGCUGUGAAAACUCGGGGCUUGAACCCCGAGCCUGCAGUGGAUACGGGCAGACUAGAGGUAGGUAGGGGAGAAUGGAAUUCCCGGUGUAGCGGUGAAAUGCGCAGAUAUCGGGAGGAACACCGGUGGCGAAGGCGGGUUCUCUGGGCCUUACCUGACGCUGAGGAGCGAAAGCGUGGGGAGCGAACAGG